GACGAACGCUGGCGGCGUGCUUAACACAUGCAAGUCGAACGGAAAGGCCCUGCUUUUGUGGGGUGCUCGAGUGGCGAACGGGUGAGUAACACGUGAGUAACCUGCCCUUGACUUUGGGAUAACUUCAGGAAACUGGGGCUAAUACCGGAUAGGAGCUCCUGCUGCAUGGUGGGGGUUGGAAAUUUUCGGCGGUUGGGGAUGGACUCGCGGCUUAUCAGCUUGUUGGUGGGGUAGUGGCUUACCAAGGCUUUGACGGGUAGCCGGCCUGAGAGGGUGACCGGCCACAUUGGGACUGGGUAACGGCCCAGACUCCUACGGGAGGCAGAAGUGGGGAUUAUUGCACAAUGGGCGGAAGCCGGAUGAAGCAACGCCGCGUGCGGGAUGACGGCCUUCGGGUUGUAAACCGCUUUCGCCUGUGACGAGGCGUGAGUGACGGUAAUGGGUAAAGAAGCACCGGCUAACUACGUG
rnacentral:rRNA from 1 species